rnacentral:snRNA from 1 species
GGAUAUAAAAGCAUUUGACUGCAAGAUCUGUCAUCUCACUUAUUGUCAGGGUGGAUUCUGUGAAUGCAGCUAACCUGGGUGCUGUCUUCUUCCACCCUCACUCUUCCUUUUCCAGCCCUCCUGAAGUUGUGUUCUUGAUGGAGAAAGGCAGUCAUGCCAGAUAGAAGUGUACCACUGUUCAGUCAGGGAUACAUGAAA